CCCAGAUCAAUCUAAUAAUCAAUUUGUUCGCAUGUAUUUAUUGCUGCAUAAUUUCAAGAUAAUUAACUUUUAUUUGUUCACUCACUUCACUCACUCAUUCACGAUCAUGAAGAUUUUAUUCAUAUCAAUUGUUAUGUUAUUAAUUGCAAUGGUAUCGGGUUAUUGGAAAGAAGCUGUUAAACAAAAGGCUUACCGGGUUAGAGACACAGCCGUUAGAGUGCAGAAAGAUUUAACCGCAUUGAGGGGGAUACUGCAAUUCCAGGCGAGGAUUAAAUCGAAACUGGACUUAAAUUGCUAGUAAAUGGAGUAACUACAUCUAAGAAGAUUUGCACAACUUUACAAAAAUGUCGUGGACACAAUAAAACAAAUUUUAAUAUCACAAAUAUAUUUAUUGUAUUAUUGUA